rnacentral:lncRNA from 1 species
GCCGACCUGAGUCGCGACGUGCACUGUUUUGAGGCGAUUCGUAAACUUAGGCAGGCCAACUCGAGACGAGACGCAAGGUGUACCGAAGUGAGACGCCCAUCCGGAGGAGGACUUCGCUGGGACGAAAUAGAAUAUUAAAUUAUUAUUUUGCCUUAUAUUGUACAUAAUUUAGAAUUAAUAGAUUUGCUUUGUUUUCAA